UAAUUUGGACCCUCUUACAUGAUACAUGAAGAUCGUCUCUCUUCUCAGUGCGACGGCGAAGCGUGACGUCUGAGAUUCCUUUCGCUGUCUGAAACGGUUCGACUAAUCAAAUCGAACUCUCAUCUUCUUCUUUUAUUUUCUCUUCUCUUCCCUCUAGAGUUUCAGGCAAUUUCUCUUCCGCCUCCCUCCGUCGCCUUAAGAGGAUGUUAGUUGGGUUCAGAACAUCAGAUAUUUUGGUUCUAGAUGUCUGGCAACAAAGAUGGAUGAUUGGGUAAUCAGCCCUCUUGGAGCGAGCAGUACGUGUACGAGACGCUCUUUGUGGUGUUAGCUGAGUUUGAAGAGCGAUGCAAGGAGCCGGAACGUGCUAGGUUUAUCUACAAUUUGCUCUUGAUCAUAUUCCUACAAGGAGAGCUUAGGAUUUGUAUAAAAAGUUUGUGGCGUUUGAGAAACAGUAUGGUGAUAAGGAAGGGAUUGAGGAUGCCAUUGCUGGGAAUAGGAGGUUUCAGUAUGAAGAUGAAGUGAGGAAGAACCCUUUGAACUAUGAUUCUUGGUUUGAUUACGUUAUGCUUGAAGAAACUGUGGGGAACAAAGAUAGGAUAAGAGAGAUCUAGGAGAGGGCUAUUGCUAAUAUUCCAGCUGUUGAAGAGAAAUGAUACUGGCAAACACACAUCUAUCUCUGGAUUAACUAUGCAUUGUAUGAAGAGAUUAAAACGGAAGAUGUGGAGCGUACACGAGAUGUAUACUGUUUGAAAUCCGGCAAUUGAAUCUCGCCGGUGCUCGGUAGAUAUGAGGAAACGCUAUUGGGAAAGCUCCAAAAACUAAGAUAUUCAAGAACUACAUUGAGAUUGAGCUCCAGCUGGGAAACAUAGAUAGAUGUAGAAAGCUUUAUGAGCUUUAUCUUGAGUGGUUUCCAGAGAAUUGCUAUGCUUGGAGCAAAUACGCUGAGCUAGAGAGGUCUCUUGCUGAGACUGAACUAGCUAGAACUAUCUUUGAGCUUGCAAUAUCUCAGCCAGCACUUGACAUGCCCUAACUGCUAUGAAGGCGUUCAUGAUAUCAAAAGGAGAAUCGGAAAGGACACGAGCUUUAUAUGAGCGACUAUUGGACCGCACAAAGCAUUACAAGGUAUGGCGGUGUGGGUUUGGUUUGCAAAGUGUGAAGCUUCUGCUGCGGAACAAGAAGAAGACGAGGAAGAGGAAGACCAAGAAAAAAUAGAUGCUAUUGAACUCAACAAAGAGUGCAUCAGACGUACAGAAAAAUGUAUCAAUGGAUCAGCUGCAAUCACCAAUUUAUAUUAAAAUGAACAGGGGGGGGGUGCUUGAUAUUUUUGUAAACGAUGGAGGCUCCAUCAUGGAGAAUCGGGGAUGGUCUCUCAAGUGGUAUAUGGAGCUACACAAUGUCUUUAUAAAUUAAUCCAACUCUCAGAACAGAUUUUUUUUUUCGAUCUCAACAAUUUUAUCAUGCAUUUUUCUCUGUUUUUCAAUAAAUUUUGAGAGCUCUGCAAAUCUGUCGAGAACACUUAGCAAUUGUAAAGGAGAUUCCUUUUAUUCAUAUUUGAUAUCGUGACAUC